rnacentral:rRNA from 1 species
GAUGAACGCUGGCGGCGUGCCUAAUACAUGCAAGUCGAGCGAAUGGAUUAAGAGCUUGCUCUUAUGAAGUUAGCGGCGGACGGGUGAGUAACACGUGGGUAACCUGCCCAUAAGACUGGGAUAACUCCGGGAACCGGGGCGAAUACCGGAUAACAUUUUGAACCGCAUGGUUCGAAAUUGAAAGGCGGCUUCGGCUGUCACUUAUGGAUGGACCCGCGUCGCAUUAGCUAGUUGGUGAGGUAACGGCUCACCAAGGCAACGAUGCGUAGCCGACCUGAGAGGGGGAUCGGCCACACUGGGACUGAGACACGGCCCAGACUCCUACGGGAGGCAGCAGUAGGGAAUCUUCCGCAAUGGACGAAAGUCUGACGGAGCAACGCCGCGUGAGUGAUGAAGGCUUUCGGGUCGUAAAACUCUGUUGUUAGGGAAGAACAAGUGCUAGUUGAAUAAGCUGGCACCUUGACGGUACCCAACCAGAAAGCCACGGCUAACUACGUGCCAGCCGCCGCAGUAA